rnacentral:rRNA from 1 species
UACGGGGGGGGCAAGCGUUGUUCGGAAUUACUGGGCGUAAAGGGCUCGUAGGCGGCCAACUAAGUCGGAUGUGAAAUCCCCCAGGCUUAACCUGGGAACUGCAUCCGAUACUGGAUGGCUUGAAUCCGGGAGAGGGAUGCGGAAUUCCAGGUGUAGCGGUGAAAUGCGUAGAUAUCUGGAGGAACACCGGUGGCGAAGGCGGCAUCCUGGACCGGCAUUGACGCUGAGGAGCGAAAGCCAGGGGAGCAAAACGGGG